GGUUAACUGAACACAACUUUUCUAUUCGUGGGUAUUCAUGCAGCUCUCAAAGAGCAGCAGUUCCCUCUGACCCGGAUUCAGCACGUGCUGCAGCGGCGCAGCCUCACAGCGCACAGUGCAGGCGCUCUUGUCAGGACCAGGCCUUUUUGCUAAAAACGCUCCUUCCUUUUAGGUUUUGAAAAAGUUCAGCUGCAGAGCUCCCACUAGAGAAGAGGGGGAGUAGAUGAAACUCUACUGUGGGGACUGCUCCGCUGGCCUGAACGACUGCAGCUGAUGUGAUGUGUUAUCAACGCCUCGACCCACCUCGCCGCUACAGGUCCAGAUACAGAUGAUGUCAGUCAGACGUCACUAAAUACUAAAUGUCAAGUUAAAUAAAGGUAGAAAGAAAAUGCAGCAGCAGCAGUCCUGGGAAUGGAUACACACCCACUGUGUGAAUAUGGGGUCAUUAUACAGCGGUAUUGUGACACACUGGUGGGUGCAUGGGACACCUGAGUCAUUUAUGUCAGGAGUGGGCCUGGCUUUACGAGGCAGCAAUUCAACCCAUCUUAAAACCAAUUAGAAACCAUUGAUUCAUUGAGAUAAAUAUGUGAUUUCAUUGUGAAAAUGGUGUAAUUACACAUUUAUAAAGGUUUAGGUUCAUACAUAAGUACCUCUCAGAAUUUCAAAAACACACAGAAUAGUAUAAAGCAAAUGGUCCGAAGCACUCAAUGGAACUACCUCAAGGUCCAGCCACUACAAUGGGAUCUGCCUCAAGGUCCAGCCACUACAAUCUACAAUAGUAACUGCCUCAAGGUCCAGCCACUGCAAAGGUAACUGCCUCAAGGUCCAGCCACUACAAUGGUAACUGCCUCAAGGUCCAGCCAUUACAAUGGUAAGUGCCUCAAGAUCCAUCCACUACAAUGGUAACUGCCUCAAGGUCCAGCCACUACAAUGGUAACUGCCUCAAGGUCCAGCCACUACAAUGGUAACUGCCACAAGGUCCAGCCACUACAAUGGGAUCUGCCUCAAGGUCCAGCCACUACAAUCUACAAUAGUAACUGCCUCAAGGUCCAGCCACUGCAAAGGUAACUGCCUCAAGGUCCAGCCACUAUAAUGGUAACUGCCUCAAGGUCCAGCCACUUCAAUGGUAACUGCCUCAAGGUCCAGCCACUUCAAUGGUAACUGCCUCAAGGUCCAGCCACUUCAAUGGUAACUGCCUCAAGGUCCAGCCACUACAACGGUAGCUGCCUCAAGGUCCAGCCACUACAAUGGUAUGAGUGUUUUUACUGAGCUAAUGACGUCAGUGUUUGUUCUGGUCUAAUGAUAUUAGUGUUUGUUCUAGUCUAAUGAUAUCAGUGUUUGUACUGAGCUAAUGAUAUCAGUGUUUGUACUGGUCUAAUGAUAUCAGUGUUUGUACUGGGCUAAUGAUAUCAGUGUUUGUACUGGGCUAAUGAUAUCAGUGUUUGUUUGGGCUAAUGAUAUCAGUGUUUGUACUGGGCGAGUGAUGUCAGUUUUUUUCGCUCUCAAAUGUCACACUUACACAAUCUCGUCCUCUAACAUUUCCGGUGAGGUCCACAGUGUUGACAGACCAUUCUGUUCGAAUAGACUCUCAAUGUGUAAGACGUUUUUAUUUUAUUUUAAUGUAUAGAACAUAGCCAUUGUUUUUCUACACAGAACAUAGCCAUUGUUUUUAUAUACAGAACAUAGCCAUUGUUUUUAUGUACAGAACAUAGGCUUUGUUUUUAUGUACAGAACGUAGGCAUUGUUUUUAUGUACAGAACAUAGCCAUUGUUUUUAUGUACAGAAAGAACAUAGGCAUUGUUUUUAUGUACAGAAAAUAGCCAUUGUUUUUAUGUACAGAACAUAGCCAUUGUUUUUAUGUACAGAACAUAGCCAUUGUUUUUAUGUACAGAACAUAGCCAUUGGACAUCCUCUGCAGGAUUUCAGUUUGGUCAGACCUGCUUGUUGUAUAAUGGUGCCAUCUACUGGGCAUGACAUAGUUACAUGUUACUUUCAUGAAAAUGGCUAUAACAACUGUCUUACAAUACUAAUAAAAGUC
rnacentral:lncRNA from 1 species